rnacentral:rRNA from 1 species
UGAGAAAUAUUGGUCAAUGGACGGAAGUCUGAACCAGCCAAGUAGCGUGCAGGAUGACGGCCCUAUGGGUUGUAAACUGCUUUUGUAUGGGGAUAAAGUUAGGGACGUGUCCCUAUUUGCAGGUACCAUAUGAAUAAGGACCGGCUAAUUCCGUGCCAGCAGCCGCGGUAAUACGGAAGGUUCAGGCGUUAUCCGGAUUUAUUGGGUUUAAAGGGAGCGUAGGCUGGAGAUUAAGUGUGUUGUGAAAUGUAGACGCUCAACGUCUGACUUGCAGCGCAUACUGGUUUCCUUGAGUACGCACAACGUUGGCGGAAUUCGUCGUGUAGCGGUGAAAUGCUUAGAUAUGACGAAGAACUCCGAUUGCGAAGGCAGCUGACGGGAGCGCAACUGACGCUGAAGCUCGAAGGUGCGGGUAUCGAACAGGAUUAGAUACCCUGGUAGUCCGCACAGUAAACGAUGGAUGCCCGCUGUUGGUACCUAGUAUCAGCGGCUAAGCGAAAGCAUUAAGCAUCCCACCUGGGGAGUACGCCGGCAACGGUG